AACGAACGUUGGCGGCGUGCCUAAUACAUGCAAGUCGAGCGAGAAACGGGUAGCAAUACCCGGAGUACAGCGGCGAAAGGGUGCGUAUGACAUGAAGAACGUACCCCUCCGUUCGGAAUAACCCAGCGAAAGCUGGGCUAAUACCGGAUACGGCCGCGGCGACGCCUGUCGCUGCGGUGAAAGUCGCAAGACGCGGAUGGAGCGCUUCAUGGCCUAUCAGCUAGUUGGCGGGGUAACGGCCCACCAAGGCGAUGACGGGUAGCCGGACUGAGAGGUCGACCGGCCACACGGGGACUGAGACACGGCCCCGACAUCUACGGAUGGCAGCAGUAGGGAAUAUUGCGCAAUGGGCGAAAGCCUGACGCAGCGACGCCGCGUGGGGGAUGAAGGCCUUCGGGUUGUAAACCCCUUUCAUGUGGGAAGAACACUGACUUAACCACAGGAAGAAGCACCGGCUAACUCCGUGC
rnacentral:rRNA from 1 species